rfam:Picea glauca, whole genome shotgun sequence.
ACAUGUAUAAAACAUAGAAUUAAUGCAACACAUCCCAUUAGAACUCUACAGUUAAGCAUGCUCGAGAUAGAGUAGUACUAGGAUGGGCGACCGCUAGAGAAAUCCUAGUGUUUUACAUGUC